GUGGUUUUCUGGAGAGUCCACACUGUAGACUGGAGACUCUGAGAUUGAGUUCCUGCAGUUUGUCAGAGAUCAGCUGUGCUUCUCUGGCCUCAGCUCUGAAGUCCAACCCCUCCCAUCUGAGACACCUGUACCUGUGGGGCAACAAGCUGCAGGACUCAGGAGUGAAGGAUCUGUCUGAGAGUCCAAACUGUAGACUGGAGACUCUGAGAUGGAGGCUGUUCUAAAGGAGAGAGUGAAGAGGACGGUGUGUGUGUUGAGAGAG